CUUGUUUUCCUUUUCACAUGCUUUAUUUUUUGAAUGAUGUCAUACCUGACGCGUGUUUUGGUAAACCAAGGCUCCUCAAUGAUUGAGGGAACAGCUGAAUCCAUCAAAGGAUGAGAUUUGAUGAAGGACAAUGUUUCGUCUGGGAAAUCAAUGGAGGUUUUGUAAGCUUCUGCUAGGCCAUGUUUUGCACAGCAGCCAGGUCUGAAAGGAGAACAACAUUGUUUUUUCCCCUCUUGGUAUUUCAGUUAAUGAGAGAAGGCAGCCUGCUAAUGAGCAUCCUUAUGGUUGAAGAGUAAAGCUCUACUCUUUUUUUUUUUUUUUUUUCCACCCAGUACAACACUCAAGAGUGCAGCUGAUUUAAAGUAGCUCUUUACAAGGACAGCUUUAUAGUACCACAAGGAAAAACUUUUUACCUUGGCUUUGGUACCUUGUCUUCAGGUACAGCUGUCCAAACAGAGUCAGGAGUUUUUUGUUCUUUGAAUCUCCCUUUGAAGACCUUCUCAAUGUCAUCCAUGCUGAAAGCACACACUGCUGAACCAGGGAUGCUGUAAAAUAAGAAAAAGAGUUGCAAGAACUCAGCCUACAAUAGCACCAAUCUCAGUGCAAGAGAGAACCAGAGAACUACCUUUGAUGUAAAGUUGCUCAUCUCUCACCUGUUAAGCUGUGUAGUGAAUACACCGACAACCGUGGGGAUUCCAUUGAUUUCUAUUAUGUCCGUGAUAGACUGUAGAACAUCAAAGUAGAAGAACGAAUCCCCAGGAACGGAGCAGUUGAGCCGAGCUUUCAGAAAGGAUGUCCAAUGUUUUUCCAGUACUCUCUGGGAACCCCCCAUGUCAUUUUUGCAUAUGCGUGCCACACGGGAAUACACAGCCUGUGAAGGGUGGAAAAAAGGAAAAGGAAGAAAGGCUUGAGAGAUUCAAGGGCAAAAGUGCUCGUUUCUGAGCUGUUAGUAAAACACUGCAGAUAAUUUUAACAGGAAGACAGUUGCCAUUUAUCUGUGCAGAAAGAAAGAGAGCAAGCAAUGUUUAGCUGCCAGUACAUAGGCAUCUUAAAGCAUCGCCAGGCAAAUGCAACUCUGCCAGCUUGUUCCCCACCCUUUUUUUUUCCAUUCAAAAUCAUAUUGUUAGUGAGAUUUAAAGACUUUAAUUAACCACGUGUAAAGACAUUAAUAAUUUAUUACAGAAUAUCCUUCCAUGGUGAGGCAUUAGCAUUAUACUCUGCAGUGGUAUGACUGAAUUAUUCAAUAUCUACGGACAUAAGAGAAACUUCUUUGAAACUCUUCUUUUGUGUUCUUUUGUUUCUCUUAUAAGCAUGAAAAAAAACCCCUCAGAUAUUCCAUUAACUGUCACAAGUGUUAAGGGAACAGCUACACCAAAAGAUACCUGCAUAGAGCUCUCCUAAUUGCAGGGCAUGUGGAAUAUCAAUAACUUUUUGGUAGAAGAAUGCACCGUUGUGUUUUUUUUCUCUGCCUGUAAACUAUAAUUUUGGAAUAAUUGCAUAAAUUUGGUACUACAGCCUUAUUUCACACUGUAAGCUGUACUUGUUACUGCUACUUUUCGGAUGAUCUAAUUCUGCCAAGGCUCAUGGCUAAUGAGAGCUUGCUGGAAGGAUACCCACCUUGCCUAAAUUAUUGUGCUCUACAGCAAUUUCUCGAAAGAAGAAAUACACGUAGUUCCCAUAUUCUAUGGCAUGCAGAAAGUGUGGCUCUGUAAUAAAGAGCAAGGAGAAGGUUACUUCAAAGAACUGUUCAGUCAGCAUACAACACUGGCUGCACUGCGCGACUCAGUGGCUUCUCCCACGGGUCCAUACCAGCUAACAUUGUCUCCACCCCUCCAGACACUUUAGGAUGUCCAAAUAUGAGUGCACUCAAAUGAACCAUAAGGCUUUAGGGUUGGCUAAUAGACCAUUAAAAAAAAAAACAAAAACCUCAAAGGAAUUGCAUUUCAGCUCAGGUAUCACUCAUUUAUGUAUUUAACAACAACAACAACAAACUGCUUUAUUGGUAAUUAGGUCCUUUCUUACUGUGAUCAUGCUGCAUUGAAAACUGCAUGUUUGCUAUGCUGUGGCACGUGUGUAAAGCACGCUGGCUGUGAAUUGUCUGACCUACGUGCUGCUGAAAUUACAUUCACCAUGUAUAUGGGAAGAUACUCCCCCAAAUUACCUUUUAUCCAUUUGGAAUCAUACUUUAUUGUUCUUAGGGCAGAUCCAUCUCCCAUGCUGCGAUAAAUAACAGCAUCACUUGCCAGGAAAUCUGCUACUGUUGCUGAAUACAAUUUUCCAUCUAAAACAGAAGUAGAAAAUGUAGUAUUAAGAGGCCUUUAAUAAUCUACAGAAUUCUGACUAGUCUGCAUUCCUCUCCCUCCCUUUUUUUUUACUGCCAUUCUUCCCCAAAUUGAUCUAACCUAUUUAUUAACAGGUCAGCUUCUAAUCCUUUGGAGGCCCUUUAAAAAAUUUAAGAGCAGAGGCACCUUGACACCUUUAGCUUUCCUGUGCUAGCUUUAAAAGCUCCCUGGCUCCUUUAGUGUCAUUAAUCAUUUAGACUCAUUACAAGCAAAAGUUCUUACCAGCAAAGAGGGCGACAUUGGUUUGUCUGGCAUCAAAUGGGCAUCUUGCCAAACCACUAAUUUCCUCCCCAUCAUACUCUAACGUACUCAGCCGAUAGUAUCUGCACAUAGGAUUAAAUGCAUUUGUUCCACAGACAAACACCAUCUCGUCAUUUCUUGGAACAAAGACUUUAAUGAAGUUAUGGCAUUCAUCUUUAUGUUUUCCUUUCAUAGCACAGUUCUCUCUGUCCUGCUGCCUUGACCUCCAUGUUAAUUUCUGUUCAAAUCAAGCAGGAAAGAAAAUUUCAUUUUCUUUUCAAAGAAAGCCUUAAAAGAGAAAAGAAGAAAGAGGA
rnacentral:lncRNA from 1 species